UACGGAGGAUCCAAGCGUUAUCCGGAAUUACUGGGCGUAAAGAGUUGCGUAGGUGGCAUUGUAUGUCGGUAGUGAAAGCGUGAGGCUCAACCUCAUAAACAUUAUCGAAACUGCAAAGCUAGAGGGCGAGAGAGGUUACUGGAAUUUCUAGUGUAGGGGUAAAAUCCGUUGAUAUUAGAAAGAACACCGAUGGCGUAGGCAGGUAACUGGCUCGUCCCUGACACUAAGGCACGAAAGCGUGGGUAGCAAACAGG
rnacentral:rRNA from 1 species